rnacentral:rRNA from 1 species
CAGCAGCCACGGGAACACGAGGGGGGCAAGCGUUGUUCGGAAUUAUUGGGCGUAAAGGGCGCGUAGGCGGUUUGACAAGUUUGGUGUGAAAUCUAUGGGCUCAACCCAUAGCCUGCAUCGAAAACUGUCGGGCUUGAGUAUGGGAGAGGUGAGUGGAAUUUCCGGUGUAGCGGUGAAAUGCGUAGAGAUCGGAAGGAACAUCUGUGGCGAAGGCGACUAUCUGGGCCAACACUGACACUGAGGCACGAAAGCGUGGGGAGCAAACAGGAUUAGAUACCCCAGUAGUCCCUGUCUCUUAUAC